UUAGAAUGAGAUUCUGCAAACACAGAGAUUCAGCAAGGGUUUUACUAAACGAAGAAAAACAUGCUGAGAUAGAGGAAAAUUCUCUCAGCAGCAUUACGGAAUGCUAAUGGCGGAAGCUUGCUUUUUAGAGAGGUUGGCGCAUGAGGCGGCUGUUAAGCAAUCACGAGAUCGAAUGGCAGUAAAGAUGAGAUGAGUAGGAGUAUACUUACUGACAUGAAUGAAUUUGAGAAACAUCGUGGGAAGGCAAGUUAUACAACUUUAAAGCUAAGUUAGAAUUUUGAUUAUAUGAUUUUUGAGUGCAUAAGGUUGAGUUUUGAUUGUAGAUUUUGAGACUUGGGUGCAGGUAUCAAAAGCGAAUAAGGUUAUAGUUCCUGCAGUGUCAGCACUCAAGUUUCCUUCCCUCGAAGUCUACUUUACGAAUGGUUCUAAGCUUACACUUCUCGUGACCUCCAAAGAAGACGAAGCAAAUUUGUCCUCAUCAAAUACGGCUAAGCUGCCCCUAACCUCGAAAACUAAUGAUACGAAUGUGUUGACAUCAGAUACUGCUGAAACAGACAUUGCUAAGGCGUCUUUAAUAAGUCUAUCAUUUCGGGAAAGCUCGCAGGCUAUGGUUGACUCGUGGACUUCACCCUGCUUGAAAGCAUUUGCACAUUCCAGUGAUGUUCGUUUGUACGAGGUAUUGCAUCUUUCUCUGAAUAGUAAUCAUAUGCUAGCAGGUUUACCUGUCAAACUUAUCUUUUGCUCUUAUCUUGCCCUUAACUCUUAAACUUAGUUGUGCUUUAUUUGCUAAAUGGAGAUUAUUGCAAUUUCCUCAACUGCUUUCAGUUUUUUGAACUGAUUACAGGCUACAGUAGAUUUUCUAUCUCUACUUCAUAUAGGCUUGGUUAUAGGAUCAUAAAACCUCAUACGAUCAACAUAAUGUCCGACUAUUGAAUCUGUCAUUUUUAUGAAGAACUGCACCUGAUCUUUGUUUUUCAAUUUAUAACCUUGGUAAUGUGAUGAUUUAUAACAUGCUUAUUUAUUUUCAUUCCUGUAACUACCAGUGGACCGAGCAACAUUUCCCUUCUCUAAUGCGCACUCUCUGAAACUCUAUAGUUGAUCUGCAGUCAAUGUGAUUAUCCACUUAGCUUAGAACAUAGAAGACUAUCGCCUUUUAAACAAUUGAGGAGCAAACUUAAAAUGUGAAUUUUAAAAUAAUCUGUCUCAAAUAUACAGAAACUUAUAUGUGAAGCAUUAUUACUAUUCCCAAAGUGAAUCAUGUCAAAGGUUUCUGAGGAUCACGUCUCUUGUGCUGGUGUCCUUAACGGAUCAAUGGUUAUUGUCACGUAAGCUCUCAUAAGGAAACUACUUCUUAAGUACAUGAGAAAACCCGCGCCUGCAGAGAGCAAGAUGCUCUGCAGAGGCAGAUCGUUUAUUCCUUUGGUGAUCAUUAUUACUUCAGGAAGGAGCUUAAAAUAGUAAAUCUUCUUACAGGAUAUGCAUUCUUACUCGACAAAUCUGGUAGAGUACGGUGGUCAGGUACUGGAGCAGCAACAGAGGAGGAGGUGCCGUCGCUUUUACGUUGCACAUCCAUAUUGCAGGAAGAGAAGUAAGAAACAAAUGUUUUGAUUCGAUGUUCAAAUUUGAGGACACUUCAUCGAGCAAACAAGACAUAACGAGAUCGUUGUCUUGGAAGAGUAGCUGCCUUUAAUCCUUUUACUAGCUGUCUAACUCGAUAUCUAUUUCCAGAUGGUUUUGACCACAUGGAAUUCUGAUUGCAAAGGUCGUAUGCACUAUGCAUUUGAUUUUAUGCACUUUCAUAUUUGUUUUAUUUAUGACCCUAUUACCAAUAAAUCAGAGACGAAGGGAUUGAAUCCAAUCCACAAAUCA